AAUAGUUUUAUGCCACAUCAGUACUUUUAUCCUAAAUUUCAAGAUUUUAUCCUGAAAAAAAAUCAAAUCCAAAUUAAAAUACUAAAAUUCAGGAUAAGAAUACUGAUAUGGCAUAAAACUAUU
rnacentral:pre_miRNA from 1 species